GAGUAAAGUCGUACCAGGUUUCCGUAGUGACCUGCGGAAGGAUCAUUA
rnacentral:rRNA from 1 species